UGGCACUGUCUUUGAACCUAUGGAGCCCUACUCAUGGCUACACGGGCCAAGCAACAGUGCAAAAUAAAAAGUUUGUUAUAACUGGGGCCUCUUGGCAUACCACCCAAGUUGCUCUUUUAAAAGCAAACAACAAUC